rnacentral:rRNA from 1 species
GGGUUGUGAGGUUAAGCGACUAAGCGUACACGGUGGAUGCCCUGGCAGUCAGAGGCGAUGAAGGACGUGCUAAUCUGCGAUAAGCGUCGGUAAGGUGAUAUGAACCGUUAUAACCGGCGAUUUCCGAAUGGGGAAACCCAGUGUGAUUCGUCACACUAUCAUUAACUGAAUCCAUAGGUUAAUGAGGCGAACCGGGGGAACUGAAACAUCUAAGUACCCCGAGGAAAAGAAAUCAACCGAGAUUCCCCCAGUAGCGGCGAGCGAACGGGGAGCAGCCCAGAGCCUGAAUCAGUGUGUGUGUUAGUGGAAGCGUCUGGAAAGGCGUGCGAUACAGGGUGACAGCCCCGUACACAAAAAUGCACAUACUGUGAGCUCGAUGAGUAGGGCGGGACACGUGGUAUCCUGUCUGAAUAUGGGGGGACCAUCCUCCAAGGCUAAAUACUCCUGACUGACCGAUAGUGAACCAGUACCGUGAGGGAAAGGCGAAAAGAACCCCGGCGAGGGGAGUGAAAAAGAACCUGAAACCGUGUACGUACAAGCAGUGGGAGCACGCUUAGGCGUGUGACUGCGUACCUUUUGUAUAAUGGGUCAGCGACUUAUAUUCUGUAGCAAGGUUAACCGAAUAGGGGAGCCGAAGGGAAACCGAGUCUUAACUGGGCGUUAAGUUGCAGGGUAUAGACCCGAAACCCGGUGAUCUAGCCAUGGGCAGGUUGAAGGUUGGGUAACACUAACUGGAGGACCGAACCGACUAAUGUUGAAAAAUUAGCGGAUGACUUGUGGCUGGGGGUGAAAGGCCAAUCAAACCGGGAGAUAGCUGGUUCUCCCCGAAAGCUAUUUAGGUAGCGCCUCGUGAAUUCAUCUCCGGGGGUAGAGCACUGUUUCGGCAAGGGGGUCAUCCCGACUUACCAACCCGAUGCAAACUGCGAAUACCGGAGAAUGUUAUCACGGGAGACACACGGCGGGUGCUAACGUCCGUCGUGAAGAGGGAAACAACCCAGACCGCCAGCUAAGGUCCCAAAGUCAUGGUUAAGUGGGAAACGAUGUGGGAAGGCCCAGACAGCCAGGAUGUUGGCUUAGAAGCAGCCAUCAUUUAAAGA